AUUGAACGCUGGCGGCAUGCUUUACACAUGCAAGUCGAACGGUAACAGGCCGCAAGGUGCUGACGAGUGGCGAACGGGUGAGUAAUGCAUCGGAACGUGCCCAGUCGUGGGGGAUAACGCAGCGAAAGCUGCGCUAAUACCGCAUACGAUCUAUGGAUGAAAGCGGGGGUCCGUAAGGCCUCGCGCGAUUGGAGCGGCUGAUGUCAGAUUAGGUAGUUGGGGGGGUAAAGGCUCACCAAGCCAACGGUCUGUAGCUGGUCUGAGAGGACGACCAGCCACACUGGGACUGAGACACGGCCCAGACUCCUACGGGAGGCAGCAGUGGGGAAUUUUGGACAAUGGGCGCAAGCCUGAUCCAGCAAUGCCGCGUGCAGGAAGAAGGCCUUCGGGUUGUAAACUGCUUUUGUACGGAACGAAACGGUCCUGGUUAAUACCUGGGGCUAAUGACGGUACCGUAAGAAUAAGCACCGGCUAACUACGUGCCAGCAGCCGCAGUAACAC
rnacentral:rRNA from 1 species